CGCCUAACACAUGCAAGUCGAGCGAGAAAGGGGCAACCUGAGUAAAGCGGCGUACGGGUGAGUAACACGUGGAUCAUCUACCCUCUUGUGGGGAAUAACUUUGGGAAACCGAAGCUAAUACCGCAUAAGUCCGAGAGGAGAAAGCAGCAAUGCGCGGGAGGAGGAGUCCGCGGCCGAUUAGCUAGUUGGUGGGGUAAUGGCCCACCAAGGCAACGAUCGGUAGCCGGCCUGAGAGGGCACACGGCCACACUGGCACUGAGACACGGGCCAGACUCCUACGGGAGGCAGCAGUGGGGAAUCUUGCACAAUGGGGGAAACCCUGAUGCAGCGACGCCGCGUGAGCGUAAGCCCUUCGGGGUGUAAAGCUC
rnacentral:rRNA from 1 species